CGGUAACAAACACCUUACUGAGCAGCAGAAGGAUGACAUUAACAAUUUGGCCAUUUCCUGGGACUUGCCACCCGUCAGUGCAGAAAACUGCAGAUGGCUGUUCCAACAGCUUCUCCAUCAUGCAGUGAUAGGCUGAACUAAAAGGCAGACAAAACACAUCAGAAAAGGUCUGAAGGACACCGGAUUGUUGACUAUGCUUCAACAAAGACCUGACACAGCCUCAGUGGUCUUUCCCCAGCAUGAAGACAGCAUUCUUACUGCACAGGCUGUUCUUAGCCACAUUGUUUGGCCAGGAGAUGAGGGCGAUGAUGAAGACGAUGAUGAUCCACCUUACCCACUAAGCAUCCAAAUGCAAACAGUGGGAUUUCUGAAGACCUACAUUGAAACAGGCA